rnacentral:lncRNA from 1 species
CAUCGUACAUGCUCUGGGUGUCUUGAGGAGCUUGUCUUUGGAGGAUGCUGAGCAGGUCUUUCUUUCUGGUAAAGAUUAUCAUUACAGUGAAGUAAAAUAAUUUAACAGACUGUUGACAAACAACUGACGAAAGAAGAGAGACCAUUCAAUAGUGGAUACCCUUCCAGCCGCAACCCAGUACUGGGAAACGCCCAUUUACACUCAUACACUUGAACAUGGGGAGAACAUGCAAACUCCACACAGAAAUAACCACUGGCCCAGCCGGGGCUUGAAUCAGCAACCUUCUUGCUGUGAGGCGACGGUGCUUACCACUGUGCUGCCCUAUGUGCUCUAUGCGGAGGCCACUAGAGAUCGUGACCUGUGAAGAGAUGAUGCCACCAUAGAGGACUUCUAGAUGUAUCCAUAAUCCUGAAACAGACCGUAUCAUGAGCAGAUGCAGUGGUGGUCAUGGAGGAGUGGAGAGCAUGAGACUGAUUAAUGAAAGACCCCAGUGACAGAUGAGUGCCCACAUUGAUCCUGUGGUCCAGCCUGAAAACCCACUGGUGACCUACUCACACCUGCAGCUUCUCCACAAUGGAUGCCCAGUGUUCUUCAGCCUCCAGCGCCUAGACUGCAGCUUUGCAGGUGAAGUGUAGCCAGAAGAGAAAUGGUUG